rnacentral:rRNA from 1 species
UACGUAGGGGGCAAGCGUUGUCCGGAUUUAUUGGGCGUAAAGAGCGUGUAGGCGGUUCGGUAGGUCCGUUGUGAAAACUCGAGGCUCAACCUCGAGACGCCGAUGGAAACCCUCGAACUAGAGUCCGGAAGAGGAGAAUGGAAUUCCUGGUGUAGCGGUGAAAUGCGCAGAUAUCAGGAAGAACACCCGUGGCUAAGGCGGGGUCUCUGGGCCGGAACUGACGCUGGAGGAGCGAAAGCGUGGGGAGCGAACAGG